ACACAAUCUACUGAAAUAAUAAACGCCUCAUUAUAAUGUCUACUAAAUUGCAACAGACAUUUCUUAACGUAUUCUGUCCUCGUUUUGUCAGGGUGUUGGAUGCAGAACUUGUUUUUACCAGCAGAUGACGCCAUAUCAUUGCUUCCCAAUACUAAUGGCAUUUCAUUCAUGUAAUGUGAGUGUGUACGCCUGCAUGUGUCUGGAACGCUUCCCAUAAGGUCUCGGAGACACUCCCGGAGAUCAGAUAAAUGACAGGAGAUCGUCCCAAGUGCUGACGUCCGAAGACGAUGUGACGCGAUGCUCACGUGGGUUGUCAGAUUGAGGACACGCAACAGCAACAGGCACAGCUGACAAUGGAAGGAAAUGAGCUUUACACUGU